GGCGGCCGGGCAGCACUUUCCUUUCCUCAGCCAAUUGUAUCUCCCAUCCGUAUCGGAGGAUCGCGGGGUGUGAGGCGCGGGAGAGCCCGCGGCCGGUGCGGAGGGCGCCGGCGGGCAGCGGCCCCCAGCCCCGGCACGGCGGCAGAGGAGGAAGAGGGGCGAGGCGGAGGCCCGGGGCGGGCAGACCCCGGGGUCGGGCCGCGCUGGCCGGCCCAGCCCCUUAAAUGCAACCCCUGAGGCGGCGGCUUCUGUCUGAUGAGACCGCCCCAGGGCUGCCGGCGGCGGGGCGUCGUCUUGGGGACCGUCACCCUCUGCCUGGCCGCCGGGUGGGCUCUGCAGACUCCCGGAGGAGUAUCAUUAGUUGUCCCACAACCCAACAUCAAUGCAACGGUGGCACAAAACAUCCUCCUCUCGGUUGAAUACUCUUGCAGAGGCGUCGCCACGGUUGAGUGGAAGCACGUGUCGAGCUGGGGCACCACCAAAAUUGUUGAGUGGAGAAGUGGGAAUGAUGUCAACAUAUCCACGGUGUACAAGGACAGAGUGACUACCUUUGAAAAUGGCUCCAUCCAGCUGCUGAACGUGGGCAUGAGAGAUGCUGGCUACUACUUCGUCACUGUAACGGAGGAGUACGGAACCAACACCUACGGCACCAUCGUAGUCAACAUCUCCGAGAUUAUCUAUGAAGAUUUACAUUUUGUAGCAGUUCUCUUUGCAUUUCUUGCUGGAGUGUCGGCCAUUUUGAUCUGCUUCAUGUGGCUGUGUAAUAAAUCUCUGCAUCUGUUCCAGAAGACAACGACACCCAAACUAACAGCAAGUACAACUGAAGAGAUUGAAUUGGAAACCAUUGAGUGUUAGCCAAGGACUGUCUCAUAACAAAAAAAUAACAACUCUACCUCAGGAGAAACUAUGGGCACAGAAAGCAAGAAGAAACCUAAAAGUCCUCAGAAACCCUUCCUGAUCAUCAUCACCUUCCAGAGACAAUCAGGAGUGACCUUACAAUGACAUCAAUCAGCCUCCUCAGCAUUCAUGGAUACAUCCCAUGACCGUGUUCAAAGGGUCUUUAACUCAAUCCUCUGCUAUCCAGGUGUCUGAGAAACAGAAGAACAUGUAUGAGUCUACCUGAGAUAAAAGAAAAUCCUGUAGUUCUUGCUCUUGAUGGGACAACGUAAUAACUCUUCCAUCUCUGUGCACAACUCUGAUCUGCUCAACUCCAAUGUUCAGCUGCAGUUGAAUGGAUCUUUUAAGACAAGAUGCAUAUUGAAUCAAAAUGCAUUACAACAGUGAUGAAAAUGAGACUCAGAAAACAAGAAACUAAGAACACAAGAUCCCUCCCAUUUGUUGACAAGAGCCUUAAGAUGAGGAUGGUGCAAACCCUACAGAACACAACAGCAACUCCAAACACUUCAGUUUCACCACUCACCACAACAGCUCCCGGCCUGACACUGUGCCCUGCCCAGAGGCAGGGUGUGUGUUCUCAGGACCUGCUCUGUCCUACAGCCAAGAUUUGGGCAGCACCUGUACCCUGGAGUGUGACUGCGCGUUGCCCCCGUGACCACAGUGUGCGUCAUGCUGUGGGCACAGCCAGAGCACUGCUUGAAGUGGUCAUCCACUGUCAAGGCUUCACUUAAUUCACUGUGCUGAGCACACAGACGUUUCUGGAAUGAAAUCUCUUAUUUCAAUGACAACUAAUGGCAUGAAUGACAAGGCCCACAUUUCAGUACCUAUGCAGCAAAGCUAGUGCUGAGCACUGACCAGCCUAUAGUUUAGAAUCCAGCACAAAGAUACUUCUAUUCAGUGAUCUCUGUCCAAAGUGAAUCCCUUCUUAAACAGACACUUUCAAUUCCUUCUUUGAAGGGAAACUGUGCUAGACUUACUAGGUUUCUCCAUUGAAGUAUAACAUGGAUGAAGAGUUUUCUUAGGGUGGCUGUUCUCCCUCCCCAACUCAGAAAAACAAACACACACACACAAAUAACAGGCUCCUACUUCUCUUCCUGAAGAGAAUAUAACACACAACUGAAUAUACUGUAUUCAGUGUAAACCUGUAAAACACAACCUGAAUACACUCUGCCAUUGCUGAAUGUUUCUACAACUAGAAGGGCAUGUGGAUUUUCAUACUUACUUGCAUAUCUGUUCAUAUCCUUGAGAUGUUAUUAGAACUUUAACACUGGAUUCAUAAACAUCAUUUAUAUUGGACCAGUGGGCCUGAAUCUGAGGAUCCUCAAUACGACUGGCCAGACUGUCAAUGGUUCGAGCAGUCCUACAAGACAAAGACACAUUCUGUGCACAAUAAUGUAAAGUUUUGGGCUGUGAUCUCCUUUAAAGGAAAUGAGCAGGUUUAGUUGGGAUUUUGGGGAUCUUUUUGUGUCACACCAGAAAAUAAAAGGCAAAUUUAACAGAACCAUGUGGAUCAAAGUUCUAUUUCAGUAUCAUUCUGGCACUAAUGUUUACUCCAUACAUUUCACAUGGAUUCUACAGCAGAAUUCAAACGGUAUUGCCCAGUACCAGCUAUUGCACAGCAAAAGAUACUAAAAACUAUUGAGGCAGUUUAAGAAAAGUGGGGACAAUUAUCAGCAGCUACAUCAAAACUGUUACAUAGAUCUUGAAAUCUGAAGGGGUUUUUCUUACUAGCUGCAUGUUGCCUGCUCAAUUUCAUGAUAUCAGUAAAUACUUAAAGACUAUUUUAACAGUGAAGGAAGAAGCAGCUGGUUUUAAGAACAGUGAAAAAAGAUCAAUGGUAUUCUAUAUAAUGGAACAUGUUAUUGUCCCUUUAACAAGAACAGCUUGUGACCUACCUGCGUCUCAGAAAGAUAUGCUUUGCCUGCUUUAUUAUCUUUUCCAGAAGUCCCUCAUUGGACUGUAAAGAACUGAUAUCAUUUUUAUCAAAAGCCUGAGGUCCUGCAAGUCUCAUUCUCUUAUGGCCAAAAGGUGCACUAGCUGGAUGGGGCAUCACUGUUGAGCUCAGGGUUUGUUUGUGACACUGCAACAAACAGAUGUUACAAAGAGAUCAAAGUAUCUGUAAGAAAUAACGUGUAAACUACAAUCUGCCACUCAGUUCACAACAGGUUUUUUGAAGUGUACACACUUUCAAAAAGCACAACUUUUUUACUCUAUAAACUUGACAGCACUUUAAAGCCAGCUUCACAUUCAUACUUUGCCUCCCGUGUUUAUGCAGGUCUUUCAAACCUUAGCGCUGGCUAACAAAAAUGUGGUGGCAUAGCAACAGCUCCUACUAAUAAAUCUGCCUGUGGAUACACAGACCUCUGGAGGCAGACAGAACAGUCAAACAAAAAUAAAGAAAGCAUUUAUGAGAUAUGAAGUUGAGCUCCAAAAAAGAUUUAGCAUCAUGUUCAAGGUCAAGACAAGAAAUUGACAUCUGAGCUGGGCACCGAGCCAAAGCUUCAUGUUGAAUAACAGCGGACGUGACUGCAUGACUUGCAGACCCACGCUCUAUGGAGAUGAACACUCUCUGGAACAUGGUUUCACAACUGCUUAGACAUGUAAAAUUGUGCUUCUUUCCUGAACAGACACAGCCUCAAACUUCCAUCCCUGGUCCUUCUGCUAGGCUACAUGAGAAUCUAAACACUGAAGCAGAGAAGUGGGCUCCAAAGAAGCAGAGUUAUUACUGUAAUUUAUUGUUCUUCCUUCAUGAGAGCACAUUCUGAACAGAUGCUCACUUGAGGUACUGGACAAGCACUAAGUAGACACAAAGGAGAAAGGGAGGCUGAUGGGAUGUACAGGAAGAACCUUGCACACCUCUUCUGAAGUGAGCAGCUGGGCGUGAGGUUAAGUAAAGAAUUCGUGUCCCACGGAACUAGCACUCCUGGCGCACCUGCACACAACAAAACCGAACGGUCUGUUGCAUGACAGAUAGAGACUGGCCUCUAGUGGCCCUCUGUAGUUACAACAGGGCUGCACGAUAAAGAAGAUUUAAUGGAGGCCCAAAAAUUCUUCAGUACUUGACCAUAAUUGCAUUACCUCUCUGAUAAGCUGAUGCAAAUUAUGUUCCAGAACAUAGAGAUGAUCCUCUGGAUUCUGUUUUUCAGAAGCAGACUUCUGUGAUUUUUUGUCGUUGGAAGAGUGACAGAGGGAAAUAGACAACUGCAAACCUGUACACAGCAGAUGAAAAAAAACCAUUAAAAUGAGGAUCAUUAUACUUUUGAAGAAGGCUACUGAGAACUGCUUUUCUUCAUGUUUCACAGUCAGUUUUACAAUCAGUACUCACCAUAUGAGAGAAAAAUCCAAGACUGAUAUUGGAAAGCACAGCAUCAAAG